GAUGAACGCUGGCGGCGUGCCUAAUACAUGCAAGUCGAGCGAACAGGUGAGGAGCUUGCUCCUCUGACGUUAGCGGCGGACGGGUGAGUAACACGUGGAUAACCUACCUAUAAGACUGGGAUAACUUCGGGAAACCGGAGCUAAUACCGGAUAAUAUAUUGAACCGCAUGGUUCAAUAGUGAAAGACGGUUUUGCUGUCACUUAUAGAUGGAUCCGCGCCGCAUUAGCUAGUUGGUAAGGUAACGGCUUACCAGGGCGACGAUGCGUAGCCGACGGGGGAGGGGGGUAGCCGACAUGAGAAGGUGAACGGACACAGGGGGCCUGAGGGAGGGACCAGAGGGAAACGGGCGGCAGUGGGGGAGAACAUGGCGGAACGCGCGGGCGUGGGAGGAAAAGGUGUCGGGAGCGAAAAGCUGUUUUUUGGGGGGAAAAAAGAUGUUGACUAACAAGUCGAGGUCGUGACGGUACUUAGUAAAAAAGCAACGGCUAACUCCGUG
rnacentral:rRNA from 1 species